rnacentral:tRNA from 1 species
CGGGAUGUGGCGCAGUCUGGUAGCGCACAAGUCUGGGGGACUUGGGGUCGCUGGUUCAAAUCCAGUCAUCCCGACCA